rnacentral:rRNA from 1 species
UUGAAAGGGAAACGAUUGAAGUCAGUCGUACCGACGAGAAAUCAACUUUUUGAGUGCUUGCUUGUGGGCGUGCGUGAGCUGUCAAAGGCCUAGCUGUUUGCAUGUUUGUGCUUUUUUGGUGUACUUUUUCGUAUGGUAGGCCAACGUCAGUUUCGAUCACCAUAAAAUGAUCGGAGGAAUGUAGCUUCGAUCUCGUAUUGAAGUGUUAUAGCCUUUGGUAGAUGUGGUGAUCGAAACUGAGGAUUGCAACGAAUACCCUUUGGGCUAUCCGUCUGACCUCUGGAAGUUGCUUAGGUGCCGAAAGCUUGCUUAUGGUAUUUAACACGACGGUCAAAAGGUUAGAACGUGAUUACAUUCGUUAAGGAUGUUGACGUA